AUAAUGGCGCCCGGCAGCCCGAGACACAGAGCCGCCUGCUUCAAUGGCACUAAUUCCACAUGUUGAAGACCCAAGACCGAGACUCAGCAUCAUGGCGUCCACCUUGGAAAGCAAAGUCGAGGAGCGUAAAGACAACAAUGAGAAAACAGUGGACAGGGAGAAGACUUGCCCGCUGUUGCUGCGUGUGUUCUGCUCCAAUGGUCGCCACAACAUCAUAACAGAGUACCGCAGGGGAAACACCCCCCCUAAUGAGCUACAGAUAUACACAUGGAUGGAUGCUACCCUGAAGGAAAUAGGCAGUCUUAUUUUGGAGGUCAAUCCAGAUACUCGACGUCGGGGGACUGUGUUUGAGUUCCGACUGGUGUACCCGGAGCUGACCAAGUCCAUCCCCCGCAUGAAGGAACUUGGCUCCAUCGUGAUUGGACAGAAGGGCUUUGAUGACAACAAGACACUGGCACAGUUAGGCUUUGUGAUCGGGGACUUCUUGGACAUUGCCAUCACUAACCCUGGCCGAGGAAUGCCACCCCAGCGACGGAUGAGGCCCUACUAGCACCCUUGUUCCGGGGGUUUGUCAAGGUCACUUUCAGGAGGAUCCAAGACAGGCAGAUAAGACGUACACACGUGCAUCGUUCACUGUGGAUGGAGUGUGUAGGACGUGCUAGCAAACACAGUGGUGGCAGGAGCGAGAGCAGAAGUUGGGGUACACCUACUCCUGGUCUGGCAUGAACAAUGGUCUUUAAAGAGGAAGAUCUACAAUCAUUUACAGCCAUUUUUGUCAUUGAGGGCACUCUGGCUGAUGAGCAUGUAAUUUGAGUGAGGCAAAGCACACCUUGCAGUAUAUGCUUCUACUGAGUUGUGUGAACCUGAAGAGAAAGACGUGUUCUGUCUCAAACUUUAUUCCAUACUGGGCCAGUACUUCCCCUGGGAGGCACUCAUGGUCUUAGGUGACUUUAAUGUUUUUACUGAGAGCUGGCUGUGUGUGCAACUGAUCAUAAGAUUUGUAUUGCUUUACUCAAGCUUUGUGUCAUGUCAAGAAAAAUCUCAAGAUAUAACCAAACUGUGUUCAUGUUGAGAAACUGCAAGGUGAGUAUGGUCCUGAGUUUGUAGUGACAGUCUCAAAUGGUGCACCUUUGAGGUCUUGUUGAACCGGGGUAGACAAAGAAUAUCGAGAAGAGUUAUGGUGCCAGGCUUGCUGGGAACCAAGAUCAACAUUGGGCUGUUUUAUGUAGAACUAAAGGUCAUGAGAAGAGAAAAGAUGAGGUAUUUCAGGAGUCUCUGAGGACACUGCAGGUCAUUUCAGCACAAAUGACUUCUGACCUGCUUACUGAACCCAGAAAAUAACUGCUCCAAGUCUCCCUCUAAGGUGAAUGCUAUCCAAACAGGAGAUUACCUUGUGUCAGGCAUGGAUGAGCAGAGGGCUUGUUGGGCUGAGUACUUUUAGCUGCUGUGCAUGGCAGACCCUCCAAACAGGCAGAUCCCAAGUGCUACUGGGUUGUAAAUAGUGGAUGCUGACUCACCCAUUGGUGAAACCCCUUCUUCUCCUGACGAAGUCAGAGAGGCUGUGACUGGGUUGAUGGCAGUGGUUGGCACCGCUAACCGAAAAGUUAGCUUCGCUAACUGGUAAUCCACUAACUAAAAAGUUAGCUUCGCUUACGCUAAACUGAUAAAGAAAUUAAGUGGAAGCUAAUGCUAACCGCUAACUUUUUUAUAUGGAUUUAGCUUCGGUUUAGUAUUUUGACUCAAAAACUCUUAAAAACAGACCUUGUGACCUGAAAUUUUGAUAUGUAGUAGCUUAGACACAGCUUUCUAGAAAGGUAUAGCAUGCCAAAAUCAGAUGAUAAAGGUGUACACAUAUAAACAUUAAAUUGAACAUAUUGAAUUCUUGUUAUUAAAUCCCGAGCUCAAAGGGUUGGAAAUGAAAGAUGCAUUACCAUAAAAUACCAAAAAGUUUCCCCAAUAAUUGUCCAAUACUGUACUUUAAGGCGUAAUUUACCCAAAAGUGGAAACGCUGGAAUUAUUGCGUCACGUGGCUCAGCUGGUGCUGUGUCUCCCCACAACGGACAUAACAAACCUGUAUGAAUUUUUUAUUUAGCGGAUGAGGAGCUACAUUUAGCAGAAGCUAAUUGGUCUGUUAACUGUUUUCAAAGUUAGGGAAAAUGCUAAGCAGCUAACAAAAAAGUUAGCUUCGCAAAUUAGCAGUUAGUAGAUUAGUGGACCCGUGCCCACCCCUGGUUGAUGGGUAGAAAACCAGCUGGUGUUUGCAGCUUCAUUACAUAUCUGCUCAGAGCUGUAGGUAUGAACAUGGGCCAUGGGUUGCAUGCAGUCUUGCCUGCAGUAUGGCAGUAUGGUGCCAUUCCUCCUGAUUAAAAAUAAGGAGCUGGUUAUACCUAUGUAGAUAGGGAAAGGAAACUGACACGACUAAAAGAACUAGCAGUAACAAACUGUUUUCAGCAGUGGUCAGCAAACAGCUACUGAUCUCACCUGAUUUGAGCGCUGGACCUCAGUCAGUCAGCUCCUACGCCAGUUGCUUUUGAAUGGCAGGAACAUAAGCAUGGAAGAAACUUUUAUGGAGCAUUGUAGCAUUAUGUUGUGCUAAAAACACCAGAAUAGAGGGGUAAAAUAUGGUGCAAGCAGUGACUCAAGACACAGGAGGAGAGGAAGCUCCACUCAAAUUUUCUCUGAGCUUGAGAAAGAAAGUGGGCCCAUUAUUGAGGACUGUACAAGGAUGACCAUCAAUACAUUUUAUGAUUUUCUGAGGAAAAUUGAGUUGUAUAUUAUCAAAAAACUAUUCAUUUACAUGAGAGCAGACAGCUACUGGCGACCUGUCUCCUGGCAUGCUGUUGCCCUGCACUCUGAAAUGCCUCCCGCCUAUGAUUGCCUGAACCACACUGUACUGUCCUUUGCUCGCCCCAAAUUAUGCUCCUGGCAACACUGCAUGGGGAAGUGCAGGGCUUGCAAGGCCUAGUGUGGCUGUGGCUGUGGCUUAAGGAACAUUUACAUUGACAUUUGGAACUAAAGGCACAGAAUACAGUAAACCUUUGCUUUUACGGACCUUGAUUUAUAUAAUGAGUUGGCUUUAAAAAACUUUUUGGGCCUGUCCCGGCAUAUCCUGGAAUUUACCAAACGAGUUCAGUUCCAGAACUUUACCUGCCCUAGCCUCAAUUUUUACCGCAGAACAAUCUGCCAUUCUUUUAGCAAUUCGCACAAUCUUCACUUUGCCUGUUGGUAUUUUUACUGUCUACUCUGACUCACAGGCAGCCGUCUGCAAUGGAAGAUUUUAGAAGCACCCACCAUAUAGUUUUAUAAAUUUUUAGCUGGCUGGUUCUGGCCAAAAGGUGUGGCCACCAAAUAAUUUUAUGCUGGGUACCUGCCCACGUCUCUGUGCGUGGUAAUGAGGAGGCCAAUAAGGUGGCGCAGGCCGCUGCUUCUCGUCCUCCCUCACAGUGCGCUCUUCCAUUUAGGAAUUUGUAUACCACCGUGCGGUCUGCACUUCAGAGGGUGUGGCAGUGCAGGUGGGUGGCUGUGAUUGCCACGACAAAGAUGGGGGAAGUCAGUGCUGUGCUUCCCUGGUCGUAUUCUCAUAUAAGGAAUCGUAAGAGGGAGACUGUCCUGACUCGCCUUAGGGUGGGCCACACUCGAUACACACACGGCUUCCUCAUGUCUCCAUGGGAGUUCAGCCGUACUGUGAUGACUGUUUGGUCCCCCUGACUGUUCAGCAUUUGCUGGUCGAGCGCCCCAGUCUGGGGGACCUGCGAGAGCGGUACUUCCCCCAGUGUCAGGGUGGAGAUGGGAGUUUCUUUCUCUCUCUGGUGCUGGGGAGAAGGCUCUCUACCUGGGACAUGACAUUUAUGGCUUCCUACAGGAGGCUGGCGUCCUCAACCUCCUGUAGGUUUUAUUGACCUUUUAUUGUUGUUUUUUAUCAUGUUUUAAUUAUUUACCGGUUUUAUAUAGUUUAUUUUGUAUUAGCUUUGGCGCCAUAUGACCCUGCAGUUGCAGCGCCAAGAAUGAAACUCCUGCAAUAAUCAAUCGGUCCGGCAUAUCCUGGAAAAUAUCAAACAAGUUCAGUUCGGUGGUGGGCUCGCCAAACAUGUACAGCGUACACGCACAUUGGUCGGCAGUGGUGGAAGCAAUACAGACCAGGUGGUGUGCAUCUAGUCAGCUUUGUCCAUUUGGCUAAUCAUCUCCACUCUUGUCCUUCUGUGCCUCACCUUUCAUCUCAUAUAAUGAACAAACUAUGUUAUAUAUGGAAAUGGUCAGAAAUAGCAAACUUUCAGCUCAUAUAAUGAACUAACAAAUGUCUAGGAGAGGCCUAUGUCCUGCAAUGGGAUGAUACAGAAUGAUAAUGAUGAAGGGAUAAGUGAAAACCAUCAUGGAACAUUUACUUUAAUGAAUGAUUUUUACAUCAAUCUAGUGCUAGAGUUACUGUACAGACAAGGUACUUCUGCUGCACUGAAUACAACACACAUUACAUUCAGACAUUGAUUUUAACCAGCUGAAGGGUUAUUGGGUUAGGGACCGGGAAACAGGAAAGGACAGGAUUAUAGACUUGAACUGCUUUUUUAUGUUAUUGACCUCCUCUUUACACAUAUUUGUAUAAUAGCAUUUGACACCAAGUAUUGUGGUAUUAUAUAGAAGGCGACAUACACGUGGAGGCAACAUUGGAAUCAGGAGGAGGGAUUCAGGCGGGGUGUCUCUGAGGAGUGUUCAUAUGGCCAACAGUGAACAUGUGCUGUUUAAAAUUAUUCCACUUCAAAGUAGAGUUCAUUAAAAUAUUAUUGGUUUGAUUCUAAGGAUUUCUAGUGACACUCACUUGUUGAAAAUCAGUAAGUCAUCUCAUACCUUUCACAUCUGUUACAGCAUGAGUGCCACAAGGUUACAUAUGAUUUGCCAUCGAAAAGUUCACUGUGAGUGGUGACCUGCUCUUCAGGCAUCCAAAUAUGAUGCCAAUGGUGAUUUGUUUUGAACAGUUGACUAAAUGGGCCUUGUGAAACUCACUUCAGUUAUUAUAUACUGGCAUAAGGAUAGUUUGUAGGCAGAGACAGGGUAGCAAUUCCAACCAGUGUGGAUCACUUACAACCAAAUGGUACCAGGAAGGGGUAAGAAGCAGCCCAAUUUUAAAUAAAUCAUGCACACAUCACUUGGCUACCUUGUAAUUGAGUCAAAUCAUCAAAAUGAGUAUCCAAAUAUGAAGGCCAAUGUCUAACAAUUCUACAUAGCUUAACCCGGGUCAGAUAUCUGGUCCACAGAAGUGUUAGAAACAAAUAUUUACAGCAAAUUAAAUGGAUGACUAACCUGGUUAGUUCAGCUUCAUUCUAUACAAAUUUGGAGUAGGUAGGAUUGAUGCCUGACAUAAGUUAGGACUGGCAUACGAUAGUGCUACACUAGUACUGUACUGGAAUGUAACAACCUGCCUCCUAACUUCUACUCCGCUAAAUUGUGCUUUAUUAAUAGUAUCCACAUGAGGGUCACUACAGUACUAGCAGCAAUAUACUCUGUUCGAGAUUAUGUCCACAUAUAUUAUUUGUAAAAAAAAAAAAAAAAAUAAUAAUAA